UAUGUAACACAUUCACCCAUAAUUCCUUAAUUCCUGUUCGACGCCCCUCCCUCACCUUUCAAAACUCACUAGUUGACGUUUAAAUUCUCCUGUCAGUGUUUUUCAAUAAUUAAAUGAGCAGAGACUUAGAACAACACAAAACCAUUUGAUACUGGCUGUUUUAACAGAGGUCGUCUGCUAUUCAAUCGCUUCAGUCGUCGUCUGUGUAUCGGAGAGAUGGAGAAUUCGCCUCAGCUAAGCUUUUCUAGCCAUCACUCAGCUUCAGCUGCGCAUUUUCCGUUUCUCGUUUAAUGCGGAAACAUUCCUCCUCUAAACUAGAGAUCAUCCAGCGGGAUCUGGGAUCUUUUGCUUGCAUAUCCUGUAUCCAUAUCUUCAAUCCCUGCACCACUAAAAGAGAAGUCAUCAGCUUUGAGUCCCACAGCUCUAUACAUCAUGAGGCGCUUUUGGUUUCUAGCAUGAGCUAACCAACAGACAACUGUAUCUGUGUCACCUGGAAGAGCAUCAUAGAAGGUACAUGUUCAUACCACAAACUAACCUAUUGUUUCUUUUAAUAUAUAUGGGGGUUUUGUAGUUAUAGAUUUCACUAGGCAAGCAUUUCUAAAGCAUUAUUUUAUUUCGUAAAAUUAUGUUUAUAUAUUCAGACAAGACAAUUGUGGUGUGAUGUGAAAUUUGAAAGUGGGUGAGCUAUCUGGAUUUGCUCUUUCCAUCAGAGAGCAUUUGACAUUUAUUCACCAUUAUUACAUCCAUUUUCUUUGUUUUAAAAAAAAAAAAAAAAAAAAAAAAUUACUGACACUGAUGCCUGUCCUUUUGAUGACACCCUGUGGAUUGGUUUGCCAUUUUCAUGUAGUCAACCAAAAUAUGCUCCAAUACAAGUUCUCAUAUUCAAAAUAAUGCGUGAUCUUGUCACUACUUACAAAGCUUAUGAAAAAUAUUUUUUGCAAACAAACAAAAAGAAAAAUGAAAAAAAAAGAAAACCACUUAAAUCCACCAUAGUAUUUUGAGAUAUGUUUCGUUAAAAU
ensembl:lncRNA